AGUUUGCAGUGAGCUGAGAUCGCACCACUGCACUCCAGCCUUGCACUUUGCAAAGAGUAUUAAUACUUUUAGACUAGCAAGAUGUAGAAGAAAUAUUGCAGUAUUUAUGAAAAAUGAUGGCCUUGGAGACUAGAAGAACUUUAGAGGAGGUGGGAAUUUAUUUUUAGUACCAUAUCUGCUCUAAUAAGUUUAACACUUCAUAUAAUAAGAUUCAUCAUAUUGUCAUCUAAUAUCUUUUCAAUCUAAUCCCCAGUUAAUUUUUUUUUUUUUGAGAUGGGUUGUUGUUCUGUUACCCAGGUUGGAGUGCAGUGGUCCAAUCUCAGCUCACUGCAACUUCUGCCUGCCCGGAUCAAGCUAUCCCCCCACCUCAGCCUCCUGAGCAGCUGAAACUACAGGUGCGUGCCACCACACCUAUCUACUUUUU
rnacentral:lncRNA from 1 species